AAAUUCCAAAAUUUUUAUUUUUAAUAAUUUUGAUGAAAGUCAAUGGAUAAAGCAUCUCAGAUGGUUUUUUAUUCUUUUCUCUGAAUGAGAUUUCGAAUUAUACGCCCAUCUUACAACA
rnacentral:snoRNA from 17 species